rnacentral:rRNA from 1 species
GAUCCUGGCUCAGGACGAACGCUGGCGGCGUGCCUAAUACAUGCAAGUAGAACGCUGAAGGAGGAGCUUGCUCUUCUGGAUGAGUUGCGAACGGGUGAGUAACGCGUAGGUAACCUGCCUGGUAGCGGGGGAUAACUAUUGGAAACGAUAGCUAAUACCGCAUAAUAUUGAUUAUUGCAUGAUAGUCAAUUAAAAGGUGCAAUUGCACCACUACCAGAUGGACCUGCGUUGUA